rnacentral:piRNA from 1 species
UGAGGACUCAGGUCUCCUAAGGAUGAAA